UUUAGAGUAGGAAAUAAAUAGUAAAGACUUAAUAAACGGGGAAGUUGUUAUUAGGGCNAAUAAAUAUUUUUAUGCCUUAUUAUUUUCGCAUUCCGCUAAGA
rfam:Human gut metagenome DNA, contig sequence: F2-X_020636.